rnacentral:rRNA from 1 species
GAUGAACGCUGGCGGCGUGCCUAAUACAUGCGAGUCGAGCGAACGGACGAGAAGCUUGCUUUUCUGAUGUUAGCGGCGGACGGGUGAGUAACACGUGGAUAACCUACCUAUAAGACUGGGAUAACUUCGGGAAACCGGAGCUAAUACCGGAUAAUAUUUUGAACCGCAUGGUUCAAAAGUGAAAGACGGUCUUGCUGUCACUUAUAGAUGGAUCCGCGCUGCAUUAGCUAGUUGGUAAGGUAACGGCUUACCAAGGCAACGAUGCAUAGCCGACCUGAGAGGGGGAUCGGCCACCCGGGAACUGAGACACGGUCCAGACUCCUACGGGAGGCAGCAGUAGGGAAUCUUCCGCAAUGGGCGAAAGCCUGACGGGGCAACGCCGCGUGAGUGAUGAAGGUCUUCGGAUCGUAAAACCCUGUUAUUAGGGAAGAACAUAUGUGUAAGUAACUGUGCACAUCUUGACGGUACCUAAUCAGAAAGCCACGGCUAACUACGUG